rnacentral:lncRNA from 1 species
CCUGAGGGGACCCCGAAGACAGGACACCCAUUUUAAUACAAAGCAUCAGCUGCCACACCAACGGGAGCUCCAUCUCAGGCCAUGUUAGUAGAAGCAGGUCUUGUAGAAAGAGGGAGGUGAUCUCCUUCCACCUCCUCUGGCCAGCCCUGGUCUACUGUGGGCAACCCGAGAGCGGUGCGGGCACAGCGAUGGUACGCCCACCCCUUCCUAUCAGUUAUGCCGGGUUUUCUCCACCCUCAGCAUCCCUGAUCCGAGGAGCGGCUGAUAAAGGCCCGUAGUUCUGGUCUUUCAAACCUCCGCAAUUAUGCAGAAUUUACCCCUCUCCCCUGGUGAAAGUGGGCCUGGGGGAUGAGUCCGGCUGCAGGUCAAGAAUUCUACUUUAUCAGCAGCUACAAAAACAUUAACCUGAUCCCCGGGGGCGAAGUGUAGCUGGUUCAGCAGCUCCUGGAGUCGCCUGGCCUUAGGAGAGCCUGUGUCUCCCAGUGGCCUCAGAGAUUGGGUGGCCCCUCGCAGGGUCUCCAAGGACCCGGCCGUGUGCUUACAGCCUGGUUUCCCACCCUCAUCUCCCCUCUACACAUGUACGAUUCUGCCAAAAGAGAGCACGGUCCAGCUUUUUCAAAAACACAUUAUAUUAGUUGGUGUUGUGUUUUUUGGUUGCAAGGGGCAGAAUGCCAACGCAGACUGGGCUGACCAAGAAAGGAAAGUUUAUUGGCUCAUGUGACUGAGAUGCACAGGGUUAUCUGGCGUCAGGCCCGGCUGCAUCCAGCAGCUUAGGGUCUCCGUAUCUCAAUCUCUUGGCUCAGUGCUAGCUUCAUUCUCAGACCAGCUUUCCCCUAGGAAGUUGUGAAAUGGUUGCUGAAAGCUCCAGACUCAAAUCUGGAGCUCAUCAACAUCAGUAAAAAUAGAAUUUCGCUGCCCCAAGAGCUUGAGCCCAAAGCUCGGGAAUUAAUGCCCAGAGAACAGAUGGGAUUGUUGUCCACCCCAAAUCAGUUCUGCGCAAGAGGCACUGAGCACAGGGAUGCCCAGGCGUGAGCCAGGUGGCCCAGGAUGCAGGAGAAGAGGCCUCUCCAGAGGGGGGUACAGUGAGGGUUGGUCUGCCGGCAGCCGGGACUGGGGAGGGUGGCCUCUAAAGGACGCGGCAGAUGCUCUGAACAGAGGCAGGGCCAUCGAGCGACGGGCACGCAGCAGCCUGUGCCCACCGCCACGAGCAUGCCUCUCUCCUCCCGGCAGCCGGGGCACUGGUAUCGGGCCAGCAGAGAGUGGGGGCCGUAAAGCCCAGAAGAACGGCUCUGGCUCUGCGUGGGGAGGCUACCCUGCGUCUUCAGGACUGCGUGCCUGCUCUGUCUGGAAGGGGGACUGGAACACAGGGAACCACAGGAGGGUUUUGAAGUUUGAAAGCUGAGCUUCCUGCCAAGCUGAUGACUAACAAAAAGAGAGGCGUCUCUGGAGCCUGUGUGCCGAAAAGGGGAGGGAACCCCGGGGCUGGGGGGGCAUCGUGCGCAGACACCAGCCUGCACCCUCUCCACUCCGUCCUUUUUGAGGAGCCCUGUACAGCCCAGCUGUCCACUCGGCUGGGCCUCGCAGGUGAAUCAAGACCGGUUCACACACAUCCCGAUGCCCCGCCCUGCUUGCCAACAACUGGACUAGGUCUGAACAGGCAUGUGAUUCUGCCAGUGACAGGCAAGGCCCUUCAGAACCAGUCUCCUCACCGACAAAAAGAAACACAUACGGGGAAUGCCUGUCGUGGCUCAGGGGAAACGAACCCGACUAGGAUCCAUGAGGGCGAGGGUUUGAUCCCUGGCCUCCAAAAGCAGCUUGGGAAUCCAGCGUUGCUGUGGCUCUGGUGUAGGCUGGCAGCUGUCGCUCCGAUUCGACCCCUAGCCUGGGCACCUCCAUAUGCCAAUGGGUGCGGCCCUAAAAAGAAAGAAAGAAGGAAGGAAGGAAACACAUGGGCAUUCCCAUCGUGGCACAGUGGAAGCGAAUCCUACUAGGACCCAUGAGGUUGCAGGUUCGAUCCCUGUUGGAUUCGUUAACUGCUGCGCCACGACGGGAACUCCUGAACCGUGACGUUUAUUAGUGCGCAUACUCACCCACCCUCCACUGAACAAAUAUGCACGGAGAGCCUACUGUGUGCCAGCCACCUGAGCCUGGUGCUCGGGGCAAGAAAACAUCACGUCUUCGGGAACCUCCUUCAUUCGCCAGCUUUCCCCCCAGCGCCUCCAGCCGGCACCCGGCACCCAACACGCCGGGCUCGGGGGAUGCAGGGAGAACAGGCCGACGCAGCCCCUGCCUUCCGGGAACAAGGGACAGAUCCUUCUGUAAAAAGGCGGUUCCAACAGAGAGGACGAAGAACCCGAGCAGAGGCACACACAGGAAGAGGACUGGGACCCAGGAAGGAAGGCUUCCGGGAGGAAGAGACACGUCCCUGAGCCCUGAAGGGCGACUUGGCAAAGGAGAGGAGGGCGAGCGGAAGGGCAGAGAGAACAAGGCACAUCCCGCCCAGCCCGAGCGCAGAGCUCAAGGAGCAGAAGGGAAAACGGGCCAGACCACGGCGCUCCGGUCAAGGACCCCGGAAGGACCAGCAAGGGCCCUGGACUCGGAGGCGUAUUUCUGAAAGCUGACCCUGGUGGUGGCCCGCGAAGGACAGGACGAAGGCGGGAGGCAGUGGACGCAGGGACGCAGGCAGAGCCCCAGCCCGGCCUCGCGCAGCGGGGUCGCGGGGAGAGCUGAGGGAUGCCGUGCUUUGGGGGGUUCUCCGGAGGGCAGCGCUCGAGUACAGGGGACAAAGACUCGACUGGGAGGCAGAGGAAGCUGGGUUCAGACCUGCUCUGCUCUUAGCACCGACGUGACCUCCAGCAGGAGCUGUACCUCGCUGUGCCUCCUUCAUAAAACGGGACCCUACGCCCGCCUAACGGCUCACAGCGCGGGCAAAGGCACGGGCACCGUGAGGAGCACGUCGGAGCCUGCGAGGGGAAGGGAACACCUCAAAACCGAGUCCACAGGAAAACAGGGCAGGGCAGCCCAUCUGCUCCCGGCAUCCCUUGAGGGAACCACAGAUCCAGCGUGCUCUCCCUAUAAACCAGGGCUGAGAUCCUACCUCCAGGCCUCUCUCUGUGGCCUCUGUGGUCACUCGAUACCUUGAAGCCUCCGUCUCCUCGACUGUAAGUCACCGACUUGGCAGGGCUGUCGUGGGGAUGGGCCGAGAGGGUGCUUAGCACGUAGAAGGUGCUGCAUAAUCAGCUGCCAGGCUUCUUACUAAUAUUCGCUCUUCUUACUUUCAUUUUUGCAGGAAUCAGGAGCACUUCCUUCGUGCCAGGGCCUGUGCUGGGCAUCAGAGAAAAGCUGCAAAUAAUAAAGAUGUCCGUAAAUAUUUAUUAAAGGCUCACGGAUCGGAUGGCUCUUUACGUGUGUGUAUACAGGCAUUAAUUAAUCAAAGCCCCACGUCCAUCCUGUGCAAGAGCUACUGUUACUGUCAACUCCGCUUUCUAGGAGAGGAAGCUGAGGCUCAGAGCAAGAGGGGAGCUUUCCCAAAGUUACCCCAGGGGUGAGGGAGGUGGCUCUGAGCCUGGCUCGUCUGGUUCCUGAGCCCACACGUGAGGCCGCCUGCCGCGCGAGGGUCAGCAGUCGGUGUCUGCUCGACCCAAGCCACCUGGGACCUCCCGGGGGACGAGGGACGGCUUCUCCUCGCAGUGGUCCCACACGCUGGCAUCGGACGGCCUGGCUGUGGAGCCCGGCUCUGCCGCUUCAAGUCUGCGUGACCUUGAGGACGUUAUUUAGGGUCUCUGUCCCUCAGCGCUUCCUCUGUAGACGCCACACAGCAACACCCUCAGCGAGCUGUGUGAGGUGACACUGAGGUGACAGCCUCAGCGAGACAGUGCAUCCAAGCGCUCGCCCAGUGCCUGGCACACAUAUGUGCUCAAGAACGUCGGCUGUUAUUUCAAAGUGAAAGGGGACUUUAUUGAUGCCUGGAAAUAAAGUACAGAAAGCACAGGGGUGGCACCGACCUUGGGCCACCGAGCUGUGGGACUUCCCGACACCGUCAGAGGGCGAACACUGGGCCACCGGGGCCUCUGUUACCCUGCCUCUCCCGCCCCCUCUCUCGCCCACAUCAUUUGCUCUCUUCUCUUCAGUCUGGCUUCCGCUCUUGGCACCAUGUCCCCGAGAUGUGGUACCAUGGGCCUCGGGUAGGACUGUCAGUUAGAAUACGGGGCGCCUGGCUAAACUUGAAUUUCAGAUCAACCAUGACCAAUGUUUCAGUGGAGUAGGCAUCGCCCAUUUGGGACCCGCUAAGGAUUAUCGGGAUCUGGAAGUGAAUACGAUGAUGGAGCCCUUCCCUGGGAGAAACUUACCUCUCUGUGGCCAUGCCCGUGGCAUGUGGAAACGCCUGGGCCAGGGAUGGAACCUGUGUCACAGCGGCCACCUCAGCCGCAGCAGUGACAACGCCAGGUCCUUAACCCCCUGCACCACGGGGAACUCCGAGGAACUUACUUUCUAAAUGAAGGCAUCAGACGAGUAGAUAAACAAGAAAAGAAGAGGCAGUGGCCCCUCUGUACUGACAGGAAGACCGGGUGAGGCACCGAGCGUGUCGGGGGCCAGAGGCCACCCAGAGGGAGUGGUCGCGAAGGCGUCGCUGAGGAGCCGACCCGUGUGGCAAGAAGCCGGCCGUGGGCACAUGUGGGGAGAGGGUGUGCCGGGGAGGGAAGGGCCGGGGCAGGGUCCCGGGUGAGGACGGAGCGCGGCUAACUGAGCAGUGGAGGGAGGAGGAGCACUGGCCUCACUGCAGGGACGGGGCGGGGCGGGGGCGGGGCCAUCCCGGCGGCCGGAUCUGGGGGCGCACUUAGGGUGCGUUCAGCGUUAGGCCGAAGCGUCGCCUUGACUGCUGCACGGAGCGCGGGCGAAGGGGAAGGCCAGGCGCUCCUGCGGGAGCCCAGGGGACAGACGAGGCUGCUUCUGGACGGAGGUGGCGGAGAAGGGACCGGGGCUGCUCUGGGGACGCUUCUGGAGGCGGCGCUGACAGGCCUCGCGGGAGGGCUGGGGGCGCGGGGUGAACCCCAGGCUCGGGCGCGAGGAGCCGAGCGCAGCGUGACAGCGUCACCGGAGGGAGGCUGCCGAAGGCCCUCUCUGGGCUCACGGGUGCAGAUGAGGUAUUUGGUGGCGCUGUCCUUCCAGGAGGCUGAGGACGCAGGACAGGCUCUUGGGGGAAGAAGUGAUAUAAUUCCAAUUUCACAUUCAGCCUUAUCUAAAGGACACGCACAUUGUAAUACCCUAAGAAAAACAAAAAGCACACCAUAGUCACAAACGACACAAGUCACACUGGACCAAGGCUUUGGGCGGGCAGCUCUGCUUCUCCGGGUGGGGGAGGGACACAGGAGUCCUAAGCGGGGCACACCUGUCAUCUCUGGCCCGGGAUGUGGCCGGCGGGGUGGAAACAAAUAGAGGCUGAGGUUCUUCUAGUUGCGUGCGUGUGUGUCGUUGUGUUUGUCUUUUCGUUUUGGGUUUGCCAUUCUGCCUCUGCUUUUGGUGAGGAGGGAAGGGUGAAACAGAAUUUGAGAAGGAAAAACGCAAAGGGUGGGUGAAGGUAGCCUCCCAGAGGCCCAUCGCCCCGCCCAGGCCUGAGGGAGCUUUCGAGAAGGAAGCCAGCAUCUGACAACGGCUCCAGGGGUGACCUCUGGCCUCUUGAGACAGCCACCUGUUUUCAGUCUGGAAAGAGCUCACGCAGGGAGUGAAGUGUCCAGAACACAGACGCUAAAGCAGAGGCUGACAGUGCGGGGAGCGUCCGCCCAGAGGGGCCUCGGCCCGGGGGUCCCAGCCGGCAGAGCCCGGGAGGGACACUCUGGACGGUAGACGCCGCCCGGCUGGCUGUCCCCGCGGAUCAAUCACGCCAGCAGAGCUCGUGCGUCCCAGACACAGAGCCGAGGGCUUCCCCGCCUGACCCCGUCUGGAUGCAGCGCAGCCUGUGAGGCAGGGCUGGUUCCUGGUUCCGCCCAAAGGAGAGAAAGUCCCGUGUCCGCCGAGGCCACGCGGCUGGUGAGCGGGGCGCCAGGGUCCGAACCGCAACGAUUUCCCUUUGCAACCCGGGCUCCUGACCCCCGGCCCCUUCACCCCAGACGCCCUCCCAUGUCCAGCCUCCUUGCUCGCUAGGUUCAAUCCUGUCCUCAGACGGGAGGGCUCCAAGCAGCUCUGGUCCAGCC